GGGGGCGACAGGCCUCGACGGGAGUUACGAGGUCCAAGCUGCAUGUCGUGGCUCUGCAACCACGUUAAAAGGCAGAAAAAAACACAAACGCCAACACUGAACUGGCACUUGCCGCUUAAUUAAGCGACACGCUUACCGGAGACUGCCUGCGGCUCUGAAUAAGCGUCAUUCAGCAGGCUGCUCUGAAGAGAUCUCCCUUGUUCUUCAGCCAAGACUUAAAGGGAUAGGGGUCGGAAGAGCCCUCUUACAGGCAUUUCCGGUCCUGAUAUUUAAUAAGUAAGAUAAGCAUGUAGACGCCUGGAUGCAGUGCUUCCGGACCCGGGUUCGAUUCCCGGCGCCUCCACCA
rnacentral:tmRNA from 1 species